GCGGAAGGAUCAUUACAGCGAAACGGCGCGAGCCGCCUUUCGAACCACCGCGUACCGAACCCCCCACGUUGCCUCGGCGGGCGCCGGGCGCCCCGCGCCCGCCGAACGGCCCCCCCAGCAAGACCCCUUCCGUCGAGAUGGCGUCGUCUGAACCCUCCGGGGAAAACGUUUUUGAAACGAAAAACACAACUUUCAACAAUGGAUCUCUUGGCUCCGGCAUCGAUGAAGAACGCAGCGAAACGCGAUAGCUAGUGUGAAUUGCAGAUUUCAGUGAAUCAUCGAGUCUUUGAACGCACAUUGCGCCUCUUGGUAUUCCUCGAGGCAUGCCUGUUCGAGCGUCGUUACGCCCCUCAAGCGCGAGCUUGGUGUUGGGGACCGCCCCUGAGACACGGCGGCGGCCCCGGAAUGCAUCGGCGGUGCUGGUCCCAGCCCGGAGCGCAGCAGACAUGCGGCUCCGCGGGCGGGCCCGGCGCCCGCCGGACAAACGACGAGACCCCCCCACGAGUCG
rnacentral:misc_RNA from 1 species